AGAGCUGGAGCGUGCGGGCAAGGAUAGUGACAGUUGAGAAGGGGGGAAAAAACUGCUGGGCUGACGCUGAGGAGGUGUGAUGCAGACAGGAGCCCCAGAGAGAUACGCGACGGAGAACGGGAAAAUACCGGACUAUAUUCAGGGAGAACUGUAUCUCGGCUGGCCGCAGGGAGGAAAAAGGAGAGCAGACUUACCCAUAUGGCUGUCUAGAUCCCGGAUCGCCGCAACAAGUCAGAGGGAGAGCAGCCGUGCACACGCCAUACAGUCGAAGUAGAGAGGAGGUAGGCGGGCCGGAGCAAUAGGGCGAGGCACCAUCAGAUCUGACCCGUCAGGAAGGGAUAGGAUCAGCCCAACUAUUGCCGCCCAGCAGGAGGAGUUGGGGGAGGAUCAGCCGAUGUCAUCGUCAUCCCCUCCUACAGUAUAUAAACCGGACGGGAGUACUGCUGAUCUUGUCACAGGAAGCUCUGAAACCACAAAAGAAGAACAAGCAGUGAAGCAUCUUCUAAAGAAGAGCGAGUCACUAGAGGAGAAAGGAAAAAUACAUCAUCUACAUCUUUGAUGAAAAUUGAUAAUCGAUUAUUCUUUCUGUAAAACACCUCUACUGAGCACAUUGGGCCCACUGGUGGUAUGUGUACAGAGACGGAUCAUCAGCCCUCUGAGCAACCUCAAUAGCAACACCAAGAACAUUGAAAGAAGCUCCAAUACGGGAGAGGGAAGAGGGAGAAGAUGUGUUAUAUGUUGCUUCAUGCUCCAUCCUGGAAGCCAGUAUUUCAUAAAGUUAAAACAAAGGUCAUGGCAUGAGUUAUCCAACUGGCACAACCGGAACACGAGACGGACGCUGCCGAGCAGAUGGAAACAUUCACAACUGCUAAUUCUUCUCUGAAUAAAUAGAUGAUUUAGGAUGUUUAAAUUUAAGAUGCUUUUAAUGUUUCAACUGCAUGUGGAAUCAUGUGUCAGUUGCCCUUUGUCUAUCAGAUCAAAGAUUUUCUCAUGCUGUAUCCUGUUCCAAUGACGGACAGUUCCCCUUUUUGGAUCUUGGGACCGCUGUAUGCUGCAGCUGUUGCUGUGUUUUGCAAACAUGUUCUUGUAUCCCAUAGCCACUAUUUAUUUUGCUAUAUAUGCGCAUAAAACUUUUUCCUUUAUAUGUCCUUACAUUGCCAAUUUAUAACAAGUCCAUAUAUUUAAAGCUACGUUUUUCUCCUGUGGGCAUAUGGCAUUACACAGCAGUAGAGCCAAUACAAAUAUCUUGCAUAAGAAUGUAUCCGGCUUUGAAAAUUUAUAAAUUUACAUCAUAUUAUAUUGUAGAAAUAUUGCUGUCAACUGCUUGUUUUCCUAAACUCAUUUUAGCUACAGUAUCAUCCUAUGAUGGAUGUGUGUGGAGCUGGCUGAGUGGUACCGCAUUGCAUUAUGCCGCUAAUGGGAGUUGUUAUCCAGGACUGAAACGAUCAAAGUGGGGUUAUUACCUUACUCACAUGGUGCAUAAGUCCAAUAAUGCCCUUUGGUGGGGUUAACUAUGAGCUGGGAAGGGCUAUGUGCAUUUCUUAUCAGUAAAUUAUCCAGCAAUAUCUCUACAGUAGGAAGACUGCAAAAGAUGCAUGUAUAGUUAUAUUUGGACAGAUGUAUUAAUCC